UCUGCGGUGAUAGGGUGAAGGCCAUGUCUUCAUGUGAAGAAGAAAGGAGGCCGAAUCAUUCCCUGACAGACACGUGAAUUUCAUUUCACUUGGUGUUAAAGUUCUUGCUCCCACAAGAGACAAAAGGGUGAAGAAAUGCCAUGUGAGUGCCAGCUGAAUGCUGCAUCUUCACUUGAAGAUAGGGUCAAGAACACUCUAACAUGAUGGAAAACUGAAUUCUCUGAACUAUGCCAUGGAGAGGGUGAAGGAAAUGUGAACACCAUGUCUGCUCAUCUGAAAGGGCGGAGCUCCUGUCCCUAGCUUCUACAAGACGAACACCUGUCUUCACCUCAUGAAUGGUGACUGCAGUAUUCUCAUGAGGAUCUAGAGCGAACUCCAUAUUCUACACAGAUCAAAUGCUGAACUUCCUGU